CCUACUACUGCGGCUGCUUGAAGUAUGGAACCACAGUGAGAAAUGAUCCCUGCAGCCUGAACAAAAACCUCCAGAUGAACUGAUGUCAAACAGUGUUUGUGACAGAAAGAGAGCAGUAAACCACAGCCCAGGAUCACUGAUUUCACCUCCAUCUCAGAGACACACUGAGCUCAGGAAGAUUCUUCAUUCUUUCCCUUAUUUUUCUUUACAGAUUUUAUUUAUUUUGGUCAUAAAAGAAGGAGGAAAUCCCCCUGACAAUUUCUAAAUAUCAAACAUAUUUUAAUGCAUCCAAGAGCUGCAGGAAGUCCAUCAGUUCUUCCUAAUGUUAACGAGCUCUUCAUGAAAACACUUCCAGCAGAUCUUGAUGUUUAUCAGAUUCCAGCAGAUUAUUUUACUUUAUUCCAUGUGAAAGUCUGAGUUAGUAAAAGUAUCAGAUGUGUGAUGUUCUUCCCUCCAUGAGAAGUCAGUAGAAGGUUGAACAAGGAGAACUGCCUUCUUGUCUUCAUUAUAAUGUUGUAGCAGCUUCCAGGUUGGUCAGAGUUCAGGUUCUGCAGAAGUUGUAACCCUGAACAACAGCUUCAGGGGGGUCGUUAUUCCCAGCAGGAGGCUUCCUGAUCUCCCCACCCAGGCUCAGCCAGGUGCUGGUGCUCCCCGCCUCGACCCAGUCUGCAUACAUGGGGGAAACCAGAGACGUGCAGACACACCACUGCAAGACCAAAUCUCAAACCAGAACAUGAGCUAUUGGAUCAAACAUCUGGACAUCAGAUAACAGGGUGAAGUGGAAAGGACUGGAAUCCGGAACCGUCCGUGGUAGGACUGCAUGGAAGGAUGACAGGUGAGUUAGUGACUAGGAAUGAAUACUGAAGAAGAAUGAUGUGAAUUGCUUAGAGGUGGGUUGUGGAAGAAUCUCCAGGGGGAGAGAUGUAAGGCUUGAGAGUGGUGAUCCUUAUCUGCUGAUCCAAGUAAGGUUGGCCUUGAGGUCAGUAUGAGGUUCAGAGGUAUCUGUGUUUGCUGCGUUUGUGAGGAACCAAGUUCUUAGUCGUCCUUGGAUCUUUCCCAGAUGGCGGUGAGGGUGAGCAGGGUCCGCUUGGAGUCUAGAUCCAGGAACAUGAGAGAAGCCACGGAGCUGCCAGAUGGGUUCUUGUCUGAGGGAUCUCAGCAUAGGAGUCGUGGAUGUGUCUGUGGCCAGGAGCAGCUGGAAACAGACUUGAGAGUCAGGCAGGAAUCUAGGAGGGAAGACAACGAAGACGCAGCUCUCACUCUGCUUCAUGACACCAUCAGCAUCCAGGAAACCACAGACCACCAUGCAGCAUUCAUGAUCACAGGAGAUUUCAGCAGCUGCAGCUCAGACUGAACACACUGAAGACUUUCAGCAAGACAACAUCCCAACAAACAAGGAGACACACUGGGAGAGAUGAGAGCUUUCAUACAUGAUGUCUGCAGAGCUUCCUUCAGACCUGCUUUGGAUCUUCAGAGCACAUUUCUGAUGUUUCUGCCAAGGAUCCAGACAGGAGCUCAGAGCAACGUCUCCAAGACAGUUCAGGUAUGAUCUCCUGAACAUCAGCUCAUAUUACAGGACUGUUUUCUUCUCAUUCAGACACUUUUUAAAUCUGCAUCCAAUCAUGAAGAAGCAGCAAACUUUAUUCCAGUUGAUCCUGAGGACAACAUGAAGAUCUGAACUAACUCCCAGAUCCAGUCCAUGUGGACUAAAGUAGUGGACCGACCCACUGACUGACAUCAACAUCAGAACCAUGCUGCUAGUGUGGCUAAAAGAGAAGAGAAGAAGAGACAGUCAUGUUGAUGUGAACAUUAGAGAAACACAUCAUGGAGCUGAAAUAUGGUCCUGCUUCAUCAUUUGGACCGGUUCACCUCAGCUGACCCAUUCAACAGCAGACUGGGUUUUGGAGCAGUCUUUCUCACUGUGUGGAGGGUUCUGGUACCACAUCUUUGGUUCUGGAACCAAACUCUCAGUAACUCUAACCCUGUA